rnacentral:rRNA from 1 species
AGGGUUCGAUUCUGGCUCAGGAUGAACGCUAGCGACAGGCUUAACACAUGCAAGUCGAGGGGCAGCAUAAAAGUAGCAAUACUUGGUGGCGACCGGCGCACGGGUGAGUAACGCGUAUGCAACCUACCUAUCAGAGGGGAAUAACCCGGCGAAAGUCGGACUAAUACCGCAUAAAACAGGGGCACCGCAUGGUGAUAUUUGUUAAAGAAAUUCGCUGAUAGAUGGGCAUGCGUUCCAUUAGGUAGUUGGUGAGGUAACGGCUCACCAAGCCGACGAUGGAUAGGGGAACUGAGAGGUUGGUCCCCCACACUGGUACUGAGACACGGACCAGACUCCUACGGGAGGCAGCAGUGAGGAAUAUUGGUCAAUGGGCGGGAGCCUGAACCAGCCAAGUCGCGUGAAGGAAAGAAGGAUCUAUGGUUCGUAAACUUCUUUUGCAGGGGAAUAAAGUGCAGGACGUGUCCUGUUUUGUAUGUACCCUGAGAAUAAGGAUCGGCUAACUCCGUGCCAGCAGCAGC